rnacentral:rRNA from 1 species
AUUGAACGCUGGCGGCAGGCCUAACACAUGCAAGUCGAGCGGAUGAAGGGAGCUUGCUCCUAGAUUCAGCGGCGGACGGGUGAGUAAUGCCUAGGAAUCUGCCUGGUAGUGGGGGAUAACGUCCGGAAACGGGCGCUAAUACCGCAUACGUCCUGAGGGAGAAAGUGGGGGAUCUUCGGACCUCACGCUAUCAGAUGAGCCUAGGUCGGAUUAGCUAGUUGGUGGGGUAAAGGCCUACCAAGGCGACGAUCCGUAGCUGGUCUGAGAGGAUGAUCAGUCACACUGGAACUGAGACACGGUCCAGACUCCUACGGGAGGCAGCAGUGGGGAAUAUUGGACAAUGGGCGAAAGCCUGAUCCAGCCAUGCCGCGUGUGUGAAGAAGGUCUUCGGAUUGUAAAGCACUUUAAGUUGGGAGGAAGGGCAGUAAGUUAAUACCUUGCUGUUUUGACGUUACCAACAGAAUAAGCACCGGCUAACUUCGUG